rnacentral:rRNA from 1 species
GACGAACGCUGGCGGCGUGCCUAAUACAUGCAAGUGGGACGCAAGAGAACACACUGUGCUUGCACACCGUGUUUUCUUGAGUCGCGAACGGGUGAGUAACGCGUAGGUAACCUACCUAUUAGCGGGGGAUAACUAUUGGAAACGAUAGCUAAUACCGCAUAAUAUUAAUUAUUGCAUGAUAAUUGAUUGAAAGAUGCAAGCGCAUCACUAGUAGAUGGACCUGCGUUGUAUUAGCUAGUUGGUAAGGUAAGAGCUUACCAAGGCGACGAUACAUAGCCGACCUGAGAGGGUGAUCGGCCACACUGGGACUGAGACACGGCCCAGACUCCUACGGGAGGCAGCAGUAGGGAAUCUUCGGCAAUGGACGAAAGUCUGACCGAGCAACGCCGCGUGAGUGAAGAAG